CGUUGAAACACAUGUUCCCGUAUGAUCUCCAAAGUUAAGUAACGUUGAACUUGGUCAAUACCUGGAUGGAUGACCGCUUGGGAAUACGACGUGCUGCAAG